rnacentral:rRNA from 1 species
GAUGAACGCUGGCGGCGUGCCUAAUACAUGCAAGUCGAGCGAACAGACGAGGAGCUUGCUCCUCUGACGUUAUCGGCGGACGGGUGAGUAACACGUGGAUAACCUACCUAUAAGACUGGGAUAACUUCGGGAAACCGGAGCUAAUACCGGAUAAUAUAUUGACCCGCAUGGUUCAAUCGUUAAAGACGGUUUUGCUGUCACUUAUAGACUGAUCCGCGCCGCAUUAGCUAGUUGGUAAGGUAACGGCUUACCAAGGCAACGAUGCGUAGCCGACCUGAGCGGGAGGUCGGCCACCCGGGAACUGAGACUCGGCCCAGACUCCGACGGGAGGCAGCAGUAGGGAAUCUUACGCAAGGGGGGAGAGCGUGACGGAGCAAAGCGGGGGGAGUGAUGAAGGUCUUCGGAUGGGAGAGCGAUGUUAGUAGGGGAGAAGAAAUGUGUAAGUACCUAGGAAGGUCUUGACGGUACCGGAUGAGAAAGCCACGGCUAACUACGUG